UACGGAGGGGGCUAGCGUUGUCCGGAAUUAUUGGGCGUAAAGAGCUCGUAGGCGGUUUGUCACGUCUGCUGUGAAAACUGGAGGCUCAACCUCCAGCCUGCAGUGGGUACGGGCAGACUGGAGUGUGGUAGGGGAGACUGGAAUUCCUGGUGUAGCGGUGGAAUGCGCAGAUAUCAGGAGGAACACCGAUGGCGAAGGCAGGUCUCUGGGCCACUACUGACGCUGAGAAGCGAAAGCAUGGGGAGCGAACAGG
rnacentral:rRNA from 1 species